UGCUACAAUGGGUAGUACAGAGGGUUGCCAAGCCGUAAGGUGGAGCUAAUCCCUUAAAGCUACUCUCAGUUCGGAUUGUAGGCUGAAACUCGCCUACAUGAAGCUGGAGUUACUAGUAAUCGCAGAUCAGAAUGCUGCGGUGAAUGCGUUCCCGGGUCUUGUACACACCGCCCGUCACCCCACGGGAGUUGGAGACGCCCGAAGCCGAUUAUCUAACCUUUUGGAAGAAGUCGUCGAAGGUGGAAUCAAUAACUGGGGUGAAGUCGUAACAAGGUAGCCGUAUCGGAAGGUGCGGCUGGAUCACCUCCUUUCUAAGGAGA
rnacentral:rRNA from 1 species